UACGAAGGGGGCUAGCGUUGCUCGGAAUCACUGGGCGUAAAGGGUGCGUAGGCGGGUCUUUUAAGUCGGGGGUGAAAUCCUGGAGCUCAACUCCAGAACUGCCUUCGAUACUGGCGAUCUUGAGUCCGGAAGAGGUGAGUGGAACUCCUAGUGUAGAGGUGGAAUUCGUAGAUAUUAGGAAGAACACCAGUGGCGAAGGCGGCUCACUGGUCCGGUACUGACGCUGAGGUGCGAAAGCGUGGGGAGCAAACAGG
rnacentral:rRNA from 1 species